GAUGAACGCUGGCGGCGUGCCUAAUACAUGCAAGUCGAGCGAAUGGAUUAAGAGCUUGCUCUUAUGAAGUUAGCGGCGGACGGGUGAGUAACACGUGGGUAACCUGCCCAUAAGACUGGGAUAACUCCGGGAAACCGGGGCGAAUACCGGAUAACAUUUUGAACCGCAUGGUUCGAAAGUGAAAGGCGGCUUCGGAUGUCACUUAUGGAUGGAACCGCGUCGCAUUAGCUAGUUGGUGAGGUAACGGCUCACCAAGGCAACGAUGCGUAGCCGACCUGAGAGGGUGAUCGGCCACACUGGGACUGAGACACGGCCCAGACUCCUACGGGAGGCAGCAGUAGGGAAUCUUCCGCAAUGGACGAAAGUCUGACGGAGCAACGCCGCGUGAGUGAUGAAGGCUUUCGGGUCGUAAAACUCUGUUGUUAGGGAAGAACAAGUGCUAGUUGAAUAAGCUGGCGCCUUGACGGUACCUAACCAGAAAGCCACGGCUAACUACGUGCCAGCCGCCGCCGUAA
rnacentral:rRNA from 1 species